rnacentral:rRNA from 1 species
CCUACGGGAGGCAGCAGUAGGGAAUCUUCCACAAUGGGCGAAAGCCUGAUGGAGCAACGCCGCGUGGGUGAAGAAGGUCUUCGGAUCGUAAAACCCUGUUGUUAGAGAAGAAAGUGCGUGAGAGUAACUGUUCACGUUUCGACGGUAUCUAACCAGAAAGCCACGGCUAACUACGUGCCAGCAGCCGCGGUAAUACGUAGGUGGCAAGCGUUAUCCGGAUUUAUUGGGCGUAAGGGAACGCAGGCGGUCUUUUAAGUCUGAUGUGAAAGCCUUCGGCUUAACCGGAGUAGUGCAUUGGAAACUGGGAGACUUGAGUGCAGAAGAGGAGAGUGGAACUCCAUGUGGAGCGGUGAAAUGCGUAGAUAUAUGGAAGAACACCAGUGGCGAAAGCGGCUCUCUGGUCGGUAACUGACGCUGAGGUUCGAAAGCGUGGGUAGCAAACAGGAUUAGAUACCCUUGUAGUC